rnacentral:rRNA from 1 species
GACGAACGCUGGCGGCGUGCCUAACACAUGCAAGUCGAGCGAAGAACUUCGGUUCUUAGCGGCGGACGGGUGAGUAACACGUGGGUAACCUGCCUCAUAGAGGGGGAUAGCCUUCCGAAAGGAAGAUUAAUACCGCAUAACAUCAGAUUAUCGCAUGAUGAUUUGAUCAAAGGAGUAAUCCGCUAUGAGAUGGACCCGCGGCGCAUUAGCUAGUUGGUGAGGUAACGGCUCACCAAGGCCACGAUGCGUAGCCGACCGGAGAGGGUGAUCGGCCACAUUGGAACUGAGACACGGUCCAGACUCCUACGGGAGGCAGCAGUGGGGAAUAUUGCACAAUGGGCGAAAGCCUGAUGCAGCAACGCCGCGUGAGUGAUGAAGGCCUUCGGGUUGUAAAGCUCUGUCUUUUGGGGCGAUAAUGACGGUACCAAAGGAGGAAGCCACGGCUAACUACGUGCCAGCCGCCGCGGUAACAC